rnacentral:lncRNA from 1 species
GGACGCGGCGGUGCUGCUCCCGCCCCUGGACGCGGCCGUGACGUACCCCUCGUCGUCGUCCUCCUCCUCCUCCUCGGCGAUCUCGUGGGCGUCGGCGGCGAAAUCCGCGGGCAGGUCGGCGGAGCGGAGGGAGAGCGCGGCCAGGGCCUCGAUGGCCGGGGUUCCGUCGGCGGCGGCCGGAUCGGGGGCCGGAUCCAUGGCCGCGGAGGGGAGUGGGGGAGAGGGAGGGGGGGAGGUGGAGGUCGAUCUGUCACCGCUCAUCGGUUUAACUUGGAGGCCGGUCGGUUUGACUUGACCGACCGCUUGGUUUGGUACCCAGCACUGUGUUAU